GAUGCUUACACAUAAUGUGCUGAACUGUAGGAGCCAACUACUGAGAGCCAUAAAGGGGGUGAAAAAAAUCUGUUUGUGUGAGAUAAAACUGCGGAAUUGGCCAGGUUCGAUGGUGAGCUAGAACCCAAGAAAAGAUUGCACUUUUGGUGCUGGAAGACUUCUGCUUCUCCUGCCAGGCUGGUAGGAGGCUCCUUGCAGCUAAUGAACAAUUUUGUCCCCACUCUGAUCUGACUUUGGUCAGCUGAUGACCUGCACUGCACCAAGCAUUUUAUUAGUAAUCUGCUUGGGACCUCUAAUCAACCCCAGCUUGGGGGUAGAUGAACUGAAGGGUGUGGGUUCAUUUAUGUUGGAACUGUGGGAUUGAUAAAUUUGAUCGUUUUUUUUUUCUUUAUUUUUUGCGCAUUUUUAUAUGGCCAUUUGGAUGUUUCCACUGUUGUAAAUAUGUAUAUAAUUUUUUCCACACUAUAAAUACAAGGCACUCGCAACUG